CAAUGAUCCUGAUAUUAUUACGCCGACUGCGGCCCUCCAGGUCUGCUGUUUUGGCCUUGAGUUUAGCGUAGUUCUCAGUCAGAUCGGCGCACACUGCCUCCAGAGAGUGAAUUCGCUCGCUGAGGUCAUCUGCGUUAGAUUCCAAUGAUGUUAUUCGUGUACCAUGGUCCGACACCGAAGCCUGGAUGAGGUCAAGUUUUGCCUCUAAAGAUGUCAAAGCAGUUUUGAAAUCGGAAGAGAGCGCGGCUCUGUGUUCCUCCAAUAGGCUAGUCAAAGCGGACAUGCUAACCUCGCCAUGAGCCGCGAUAGCGUCGUCUUUUGUGUCUUUCUUCGCAUGCUUGGUUGCUUUGGAUGCCAUUUUCUGCUUCCGUGUAUAUUAAAGUUGUUAUCUCAUUACUUUCAGGAAAAAUAAACUAGGAGAGGAUUAUGAACUGAUAGAAUAAAAGAUUUGUACAGGGAGCACGAGGUAGACGCGUCUACUCCAUUCGCAUCCAAAACCGGAAGUCGAUGACCCCUUUCUAUCAGUACCAGCAUUAACCUUUUCAGCAAUUUGAGCUACGCUGUGUGCACAAUUAUUAGGUGAUAUGUAUUUGUAGUCAACUGGGGUGCAAAAAUGCAUGGAGAAGAAAAGACACAAAUCAACUGCAAACGACUUGAGUGGAAUAAAACAUUAUUCCAGUGCCACCAUAUUCCAGAAGUGCAAGGUGUCAAGUGCUCAGAGACAUGGCCAUGGUAAAGAAGGCUGAAAGAAGACCACUGAAUAAGAUUCACAAUUUUAUAUGGACAGAUGAAAUGAGUCACUCUUGAUGGACCAGAUGGAUGGGCCCGUGGCUGGAUCACUAAUGGACCCAGGGCACCACUUUGAGUCUGGGGCCAGCAAGGUGGAGGAGGGGUACUGGUAUGGGCUGCUAUCAUUAAGGAUGAGGUAGUUGGACUGUUUCAGGUUGAAGGUGGACUGAAACUCAACUCCCAUACCUAAAUUUUGUGUUACUUAUUUGUUGCACUUCCUCAAAACAUUUUAAAUAAACAAGGGAGUUGGAGAAAUAAUUUUUUGUUUUUGAGUAAUUAUGUUGCCUAAUAAUUUUGCACACUAACUGUUGCCUUAUAAUUGAGCACACUUAUGUAUUCCCCUG
ensembl:lncRNA